rnacentral:rRNA from 1 species
AGUGAACGCUGGCGGUAGGCCUAACACAUGCAAGUCGAACGGCAGCACAGUAAGAGCUUGCUCUUACGGGUGGCGAGUGGCGGACGGGUGAGGAAUACAUCGGAAUCUACUUUUUCGUGGGGGAUAACGUAGGGAAACUUACGCUAAUACCGCAUACGACCUACGGGUGAAAGCAGGGGAUCUUCGGAACUUGCGCGAUUGAAUGAGCCGAUGUCGGAUUAGCUAGUUGGCGGGGUAAAGGCCCACCAAGGCGACGAUCCGUAGCUGGUCUGAGAUGAUGAUCAGCCUCACUGUAGCUGAGACACGGUCCAGACUCCUGCGAGCGGCAGCAGACGUGAAAAUUGCACAAUGGGCGGGAGCCUGAUCCAGCAAUACCGCGGGGGUGAAGAAGGCCUGCGAGUUGUAAAGCCCUUUUGUUGGGAACGAAAAGAUACAGAUUAAUACCCCGCUUUCUUGACGGUACCGAAUGAAUAAGCACCGGCUAACUUCGUG